rnacentral:misc_RNA from 1 species
GAUGAAGAACGUAGCGAAAUGCGAUAAGUAGUGUGAAUUGCAGAAUUCAGUGAAUCAUCGAAUCUUUGAACGCACCUUGCACCCUUUGGCAUUCCGAAGGGUAUGCUCGUUUGAGUGUCAUUGUACUCUCACACUUCCGAUCUUUGGAUUGGGAGCGGUGGACUUGGGUGUUGCUGCUUACUGUGGCUCACCUCAAAUCGAUUCGUGCACCUCUUGGUUGGACAUAGUACGGCGUGAUAAGUGUCUUCGCCGGCACCUCAGUAGAGGGUGGCUGAUCGGGAGCUCUGUGCUUCAAACCGUCAUCGGACAACAACUGACAACUUGACCUCAAAUCGAGUAGGACUACCCGCUGAACUUAAGCAUAUCAAUAAGCGGAGGA